GACAGAGGAUGCAAGCGUUAUCCGGAAUGAUUGGCGUAAAGCGCACGCAGGCGGUCUGUUAAGUUUGGAGUGACAGUUGGUGGCUUAACUGCCAAAGUGCUUCGAAAACUGACAGACUUGAGGGCUUCAGAGGGACACGGAAUUCCGGGUGGAGUGGUGAAAUGCGUAGAGAUCGGAAAGAACACCAACGGCGAAAGCACUCUGCUGGGCCGACACUGACACUGAGAGACGAAAGCUAGGGGAG
rnacentral:rRNA from 1 species